CUGGCCGAGGUCGCGCAGGAGGGAGUUUGGCUGGCCGUCUACCUUGGACGCGGCCAUGGAGGGAUCUCCCUCGCGCGCGCAGCACCAGAGGCGAGCUUGCUGCAGGGCUAUGGGCGAGGCAGGGAGCGCCAUGGCCAUGGAGGAGCUCGGAGAGGGCCCCAUGGGAGCCGAUCCCUGCUGCCGGAGGUGGAAGAAAGGGGCGCCAUGGGGAGGGAGCUCCCUGCUCAGCCGAACAGAGAAGGGAAGGGAGUGGCUCAUGGGGUCUUCUUCUACCUCACGUUCACAGCCUUCUCACGAACAGAGAGGCCAGCGAGCGGCGCUCUGGCCGAGAUCGCGCAGGAGGGAGUUUGGCUGGCCGUCUACCUUGGACGCGGCCAUGGAGGGAUCUCCCUCGCGCGCGCAGCACCAGAGGCGAGCUUGCUGCAGGGCUAUGGGCGAGGCAGGGAGCGCCAUGGCCAUGGAGGAGCUCGGAGAGGGCCCCAUGGGAGCCGAUCCCUGCUGCCGGAGGUGGAAGAAAGGGGCGCCAUGGGGAGGGAGCUCCCUGCUCAGCCGAACAGAGAAGGGAAGGGAGUGGUGUGUGGGAGAAGGGAGAGGGUGGGCUGCUAUUUAUAG
rnacentral:misc_RNA from 1 species